rnacentral:rRNA from 1 species
AUUGAACGCUGGCGGCAGGCCUAACACAUGCAAGUCGAGCGAGCGGCGGACGGGUGAGGAAUGGAUGGGGACUGCCCGAUAGAGGGGGAUAACGACUGGAAACGGUGGCUAAUACAGCAUACCGUCGGAUAACCCAUAUGGGAUUAGCUAGUAGGUAGGGUAAUGGCUUACCUAGGCGACGAUCCCUAGCUGGUCUGAGAGGAUGAUCAGCCACACUGGAACUGAGACACGGCCCAGACUCCUACGGAGGCAGCAGUGGGGAAUAUUGCACAAUGGGCGCAAGCCUGAUGCAGCCAUGCCGCGUGUAUGAAGAAGGCCCUAGGGUUGUAAAGUACUUUCAGUCGGGAGGCGUUACCGACAGAAGAAGCACCGGCUAACUCCGUGCCAGCAGCCGCGGUAAUAC